AUUGAACGCUGGCGGCAGGCUUAACACAUGCAAGUCGAGCGGGGGAAGGUAGCUUGCUACCGGACCUAGCGGCGGACGGGUGAGUAAUGCUUAGGAAUCUGCCUAUUAGUGGGGGACAACAUCUCGAAAGGGAUGCUAAUACCGCAUACGUCCUACGGGAGAAAGCAGGGGAUCUUCGGACCUUGCGCUAAUAGAUGAGCCUAAGUCGGAUUAGCUAGUUGGUGGGGUAAAGGCCUACCAAGGCGACGAUCGGUAGCGGGUCUGAGAGGAGGAUCCGCCACACUGGGACUGGGACACGGCCCAGACUCCUACGGGAGGCAGCAGUGGGGAAUAUUGGACAAUGGGGGGAACCCUGAUCCAGCCAUGCCGCGUGUGUGAAGAAGGCCUUAUGGUUGUAAAGCACUUUAAGCGAGGAGGAGGCUACUUUAGUUAAUACCUAGAGAUAGUGGACGUUACUCGCAGAAUAAGCACCGGCUAACUCUGUGCCAGCCGCCGCCGUAA
rnacentral:rRNA from 1 species